ACCUUGGGGGCCGCGAGAAGGGGGGCAGGUAGGAUAAUGAGCAUCGUCGCUGUCGUUGUGCGGUCUGGGCUUCCUGGCCUCAUCCUGAGUCUUGUGGCUCCCAAGCAGCAGAGGCCAGAUUCAUCUGUGGGGCUCUGCAUUUUUUUUAGAUGACGAUACGGUGAUGGGAAAUAGCCAUCUCCCGAGAGCGCGGGGACAGACGUCUUGCUCCUGUGCCAUCCGAACCUCUGAGCGCAACCUCGCGUGGGCACGGAGCUGGAAGAGGGACUGGAGGCCGUUUGGGAAUGAGCGGGCAGGACGAGAAUGUUGUCCCUCGGGGAACACCCCAAAUCACGGCUGUGACCCUCAGUGCGGGUGUAACCUUGGGCAAGUCGAGACCGUCGCUUUUUAGAGCAGGUGAAUCCCAUUCUGUCUCCCAGGCCAAGGCCGAUGUGCAGGGACCUCUGUUGGGCGGCUGGCAGGAGGCCUGAUGCAGGGAGAGAAGGGAGGGGCCCGGGAGCCGUCUCGCAGCCUCUAUGGAGCCUGCUUGGCACAUCCAGCGGCCCUCUUGGGCCUCCUCUGCUCUGCCGUCUGGAGCCCGGGGCCCGCUCCAGGUAGCUGUCCCCUCGGAGGAGGCCUGGGGCACAGCCUUCUGCCGGGACCUCUUCUCUCCCAAACCCCAGUGGCAGGGCAGAAAGGAUCAGGCCACCGUCUCCUGGGAUCCGACCAGACACGGUGUCUGUGACUGCUUACCCGAGGCCACACCCCCUUUGCUUCCGGGCGUCCAGUGUCCUCGCUGUCCCCACACAGGGGAACCCACAGCCACACCGACUUUACCAGAAGCCUCACGGCCUUGCUUCCCCACACUGAGGCCCAAGGAUGGCACCUGUGCCCGAGUCAGUGAGGUGCAUCAGGAAGGGCCUCCGGGCCACGUACCCAUCUCGCUGUGGCCCGAGAGGAAAAGGAGAGAGAAAUCCACGCCACUCAGUAUAGUGGAAAUGCCAGAACACCAAAGACAAAGGGGGAUCUCCUUGGGAGGGUUCUAGAACCCGGAUUCUAGAUCCUGCGCUCUAGAAUCAGCUCUAACCCUCGUAAACUAUGGCGCUGAGCUGUCGUUUCGCCCCCGUCUGUAAAAGAAUGCCAGACGGCAGCUGCCAUGGGUAACCUCGCGGCGGUGAACGUAAGAGCCAACAACACCGAGCCCUGCACCUGCUGCUUUGUUUAUCACCAGCUGCAUGUCAAGCCCUGCGUUAAACACUUCCCACGGCUGAUCUCUAAUCCCUACAGCAGCCCCAAGAGGGAGACAGCAUAAUUCCCCAUUUGACGCAGGAGGAAACAGAGACCCAGAGCGGUUAAGCAACUUGGCCGAGAUCACACAGCUGGUAGGUGGGAACGCCGGAUUCGAGACCGCGUUGUAUCUCGUUCUAAAAAAGAGGAAACUACCAUUCCAGUGCCUUCCCCGCAGCGUUCAGGAAGCUCAGAACAAAUUAGGGGGUGCCCUACCAUUUCACCCACGGAUCACAGAGCCCUCCAGCUUCUGUCGGGACUUGGGGGGUUCAAGUUUCCUGCCAAUUGCACUUUCGGUCACAGAACGGAGAGGAAAUGGAAUCAUUAACGGCAUUGGAAUUUUUCUCCGAAGCCCAUUUGCUGCCUAUCUCCUGGAACAGCUACCCUAGCACACAGGAGCUUCUCUGCCAGGAGAGGAGGAAGCCCUGAGAUGGGAGAGGAAGAGUCUAGAAUAAAUGAUAACAGGAAUGCUGCCUAGGGUGUGCCCUCUGCCCUAGCUCCUCCCAGAAUGAGCCCCCGGGAUGCCCAUCAUGGAACCCCCUAUUGCUGGCAAAGCAAAGCAAGUGGGCUGUUGGUCUCAUCUUCUUAGGAAGCCCCCCCGCUCAGGUAAGUGCCUGGGUUCCGGGCCCUGAUUUCCCUGGCUUCGUCUCCAGAGGGCAUCAGUCCGUGCUUGGCUUCCCAGGGGGGGGUUCAGCCUCUUGCAGGGUCUUGGAUAAGCAGUAUGAUUAGGGCCAGCGGGUUCCACACGCACCCCACCCACGCCGGUCCUCACCGAGUACCUCCUACUUCAUAUGGACUUUCAGACCCUCAGAUAACCAAAGAGUGUCUCUCUAGGAACCGUUGGGUUAUGGCUGCUGUUUCUACCUUCCUUGGCCACUCACGUUCCCACAAACACAAGCCCACACAGACGUUUUUACUCACGCUUAACCCCGUCUCUCAUCCCCCCAAAUGUCCUGGUCCCUUUGGGGCACCCAAUUUCCCUAGCUUCAUCAGUUCGUUGGUACACGAAAGACCUCAGUGCUCCAUGGUGUUCGCUUCGAUUGUUCUGGUUUACCACGUCGAUGUAAGGACCUCCCCUCCAAGAUGGCUGCCCCCAGGAAGUGUAUUUCCGGGAAUCCACAAGAAAGGCCUCGUGCAGGUUCUCCAGAAGCCUAUCCUCUUGCCACUUGAAAACAAUCGCCCAUGACCACGGGGGCAUCAGCUCUCGCCCUCCAUCUCCACUGGGAAUUACACCCCCACUCUGGCAUCAGCUUUCCCUCACCCUUGCACGCUGCUCAUGGACACCCAUCGUGAUGACUCCGCCUUCUUGUGGGACCCAGGCAGGGGAGAAAUGCAUGCUUCCUCCACUCUGCGGGCCACUGUGUCAACUGGGCUCCCAAACAGCCCCUGUGAAAACAGCUGCACCACACGACAUGGGCCAGGGGCUGGGCCAGGGAGAGGGAUCAUGCUGUCUUCCUCCACGGCCGCUCAGCUCAGCUCCCGGCGUCUAUGCGAAGACACCUUCCCAACGCGCUCUCCCCCGUACAACGCCCUCUCCCUGGGACGUUGCCAGCCCACCAAAUCAGCAGAUGGGGCGAGAGGCUGACCCCCCUGGGCCCAGCCCGAAUCCUUGCUCAAAGUCCACACCAUGUUUUGCAGUUCUCUUGGCCAGUGGAUGACAGAAACUGGCAUCGCCCUUGUAUGAUCUCAUAGCCCCUCCAGAGUGCAGCAUUCAUGGGCUCUCAGCGGCAUUGCCUUAGCGAGAGCCAUAAUUUCAUUGGUUUGCAUUCACUCAUGAAGUUCUAAUUUGUCUUUUUCUUUUCAUGUCUUUGAGCUAUUUGAGGGCAGAGCCCAUGUCUUCAACAGUUUUGUACUCUGCCACGGAAUGUGGCCAUUCCCGGGCACGGAGGAGAUACUCCGUGGCCACCAAGGACUGAACCAGGGUCAACACGGGACACUUGGGGCGAGAUGGAACUUGACCCUGGAGGCCCCUCGAGGCCCUUCCCAAGGCUUACUUUUCUACAUUUCGAUUCUGGAAGAAUCUAUGGGAGAGGCGCCUAGAAAGGAAUAAAGGUCUAAUAAACACCAUCAUUUGGAA